UCAUUUAAAUUUAAAUUAGAAUUUUAUUUUUUAGUCAAAAAGCUAAAAUUUUAUUAAAAGACGAGAAGACCCUAUAAAUCUUUAUAUUUAUUUUUAUUUUAAUUUUUAAGGAUUAAUUUUAUUAUAACAAAAAUAAAUAUUUYAUUGGGGUGAUAUUAAAAUUUAAUUAACUUUUAAUUUGUAUAUUACAUUGAUUUAUGAUUUAUUGAUCCAUUAAUAAUGAUUAGAAAAUUAAGUUACUUUAGGGAUAACAGCGUAAUUUUUUUGGAGAGUUCUUAUCGAUAAAAAAGUUUGCGACCUCGAUGUUGGAUUAAGAGAUAGUUUUAAUGCAGAAGUUAAAAUAUAAAGUCUGUUCGACUUUUAAAUUCUUACAUGAUCUGAGUUCAAACCGGUGUGAGCCAGGUUGGUUUCUAUCUUUAAUUUUAUAUAAUAUUUUAGUACGAAAGGAAUUUAUAUUAGAAAUAAUUUUUAUUGUAUGAAU
rnacentral:rRNA from 1 species